UCUCUCAUCUCCUCCUACUCAUGUGUCAUACCCAGCUCCCCCACCCCUGUUCACACUCAGCUCCUCCUACUCCUGUGUCACAUCCAGCUCCCCCACCUGUCACUCAGCUCCUCCUACUAAUGUGUCACACCCAGCUCCCCCCACUCUUGUUCACACUCAGCUCCGCCUACUCAUGUGUCACACCCAGCUCCCCCAGCUGUGUCACACUCAGCUCCCCCCACCCCGUUCACGCUCAGCUCCUACUCCUGUGUCACACUCAGCUACCUCCCCCAUGUGCCACAUCCGUAUCCUCCCCCAUUUUGUGUUUCUUGAGUCCCUGUGCAUGCAGGUUCAUUUAAACCCCUUUCUCUUCUAUCUCUGUCUCUGUCUCUGUCUCUGUCUCUCUUUCUCUCUCACACACACACACCCAGGGGCAUUCUGGCCUUGGUGUCCUGCCCCCAGGGUUUAUAUGUGUCUUUCUUUCACACAUACACACACACACACACCCAGGGGCAUUCUGGCCUUGGUGUCCUGCCCCCAGGGUUUAUCUGUGUCUCUGUCUCUUUCACACACACACACACACACACACAGCCCCCAGGGUUCAUCCCUUGUGCUCAGGAACAGAGUUGGUAACUGGAGUCACUUAUUUUCUGACACUUGCUGUCCGCCUGCGCGUGCCAGGCUGAGUGUGGAGGUGGGUGGGUUGGAGAGACACGCAGGGUAGGGGAGGUGGUUCUUCUGCACUUUAUUGAGGUGGGGUCAGCACCCCCCAGCGCACGUCAGGGGGCCGGUCAGUUUGCAGGUCCAGCGGCCAUCAGCACAGUGGAAGACGUUUGCGUCACCUUCCACGAAGCCUGGAGCCUUUAGGUGCCCCUGCCCCAGCCUCUGUGUGUCCUCCUGCGGUUCCCCGAGGGAGCUCUCAGAUGCAGGAAGGGAGGCAGAGACGUGCCUAGGCAUCAAAGCCUCGGAGGCGGUGCCCUGGCCUGGCUGCCCAGCCAGCCCUGUGUGGGGCCCAGCUGCGGGAGGCAGGGGUGGGCGGGGCUGGGCGUGCUGGGCAGGUCCUGGCGCUGCCUGGGCUGGCUGUCCCUGGCUGCCGCUGCUCUAACCGCUAGCAGCCGGCGUGCGGUCCACUUUGGGAGGAGGGUCGCGGCCCGCGGUCGGUAGUUGGGGGAUGGGAACGGCUUCAUACAGGAGUUGAUUGCACAGUCAUCCAGCUCCUAUAUGAUGCCUUUCUUCAUCCUCUUCAACCACGCACAGCCUCCGGACCCUCCGCUGUGCCCCGGGCUGCAGGGGGACACGUCUCGAGCUUGCUGCCGUCCCGUCCACCUCCACACGCCCCGCCCUGCCCCGCCUCGCAUGCUCUGGGGUGCUUCUCCCCCAGGUCCCCCAGUUCCUGGAGGGAGAGCCUGGGGCUGGCCCGUCUCCGAGGCCCCCUUGGAGCAGAAGGCCCUGUACCUCCGUAGGGGCAGUCCCUGAGCCACCCUUUGGGCCUGCUGUGCUGGGCAUGAGGGCCGAAGGCGGGCUCAGGGUCUGCCCUGGGGCCAAUCUCGCUGAGCAGUUGGGGCUGCGCUCCCACAGGGCGCCCUCCGAGGGGACCCGGCCGCUGCCCUUGGCUCGCAGCACCGACAGCGCGGGCUGACUGCCCCAUGGCCCAGGAGGAGGGUCUCCUUGAGGGGCCUCUGCCUCUACCCAGGGCUCUCCCGUGACCAGGAGGCUGAGGCCCCUCACAGGCGGCUUCUCACCAUCUCCUCAUCCCACCUGCCCCGUCUUCCCAGGACCCCAGAAGCUGACAGUGGGCAGCCCUCGUUCCCCUUACCCCUCUGCAUCCCGCGCCCCCCACUAACUCCAGUCCUGUGCAUGACUGCACUGCACCUCUGAGAAAACUGGCACCAUUAACUCCAUAAACCCACCCCACAGCCAGCCCAGGCACAGCGCCAGGGAGGGGAGCCACGCCCACCUCCUGCACCUGCUCCCCCUUCUCACCUGGGUCUGCCGGUGUCUCCUUGUUGAGUUCCGCAACGCGAGUGCAGGUCUCUAGGCCUGGGGUCACCUCUGACGGCCUUGGGACCUGACCAGAGUGCCCCCGGGCCCAGCAGCAGGGCAGCGGCAGGUGGGGGAUUUGGGGUGGUGGCGGGGCCGGAUUCUGGGGCGUGUGUGCUGCGGCAGGGGGCACCUGUGGGGUGUGGAGGUUGGAGGAGCGGGAGGUGGAGGGACUCAGCUCCCUUUGUCCUGUGGGUGCUGUCAGAGCUCCCUGGGUGCCCGUGACCUCGGGGUGGGGGGGAGAGGAGCUGGGAAAUGGGCACACUUGGCCCCCAGGGGGGCCUGGGUGCUAGCUUGCACCCUCAGGAGCCAGUUGCUUGUCUCUGAUUCCGGUUUGUGUGGUGGCCAUGAUGGCAGCACCCACCAUGUCAUCUAAUUCUUUCUUUCUUUCUUUUCUUUUUUUCCCCAGGAGAAUAAAAGGUUUGUAUGAUGUUUUUUGAACUCUUUU
rnacentral:lncRNA from 1 species